rnacentral:tRNA from 1 species
GGUGGCUCAUUGGUAGAGUGCUUGCCUUGCAUGCAUGAAGCCCUGGGUUUGAUUCCUCAGCACCA